UUGUUUAUCUUUUGGAAAAGCACCAGUGGUUGAAGGUUUUAAUAAUUGGCUGCAAUAGGGCUGGUGCAUCAAUGGCUUUAAAGCUGUGUACUGUAAUCACUUUCAUGACUUAAAUGCUGAAAGUGUAAAUCAAGAGUCCUCAAAUUUAGGCAAAUAUCGGCGUCCUUCAAUUUUUAAAUGUGUAUUUGUACCUGAAUCAAUUAGCUGAAUAACCUCCUCAUAUGCAGCCAAAUUCUCCAGAUUUCUGACCACAUUAUUUGACUUAGGUGUGUUGAAGCAGAGAUGCAUCUAAAAGUUGGAGGAGACUGUCCCUGGAGGACUGAUUAAAACUGUUUAAUUAAAGAUAAAUAGGACUUCUCUAAUAAAAUUCAUUUGUGCAACAAACUACCCUUUUUCCUUAAAGUAUGGCUCAAAUGUUCUUGUAAGGCUGUAUUAUUGGCUGAACAUCAAUAUAUUGAACACUGAACUAUUUGUAGAUGGUAAAGCACUUUUUUAAAUCAGUGAUUAAAUAAAUUAUAGUGUUGGUGUUUUAUCUGAGCUGUGUGUCUUGCAUGCAUAACAUGUUUCCAUAUUUAUAAUUAAAAUUUUAGCUUUAACAUUUGUAGGAAUUACAAAGAAGCUUGUAAUUCCUUCUUUGACUGUUAUAACUUUUCAUACAUGUCAGUAAAACAUGCAGAGGCGAAGACGCAUAAAUCCGAAGGAAGAUGCCAAAUAUUAUAUUGAUACCAAAACGGACAAAGUGGGGCUUGACGUCACGUACAUCAAUGCCUUUAAAGGUCGUGGUAUCUUUGCCACAACCUCUUUUCAGAAAGGAGACUUUCUGUGUGAAUAUCGAGGUGAACUGAUCAGUAAAGAGGAAUGUGAGAGGAGACAGAGAGUUUACCAUGACAACCUUAAAGUAUUCUUGUUUGAAUUCUAUUUUAAUGGAAAACUCUGGUGUGUUGAUGCAGCAAAAGAAGAUUGCUCCCUUGGAAGGCUUAUAAACGAUGACAAUAUCAGCCCAAAUGCCAAAAUGAAGUAUCUGACCAUCCAACAGAAGCCACAUUUGUGUUUAUUUGCAACUCGAGAUAUCAAUCAGGGAGAAGAGAUUACGUACAAUUAUGGGGACUCAGACUGGCCAUGGCGACUCAAGAACUCCAGUGGGAUGUCUUCAACUGGACAAGAUGUUGAGGUGCCAUCCACAUCACAGUUGGUUUCAUACUAUGGACCGGUAUCAA